CGACUCGACAGGCAGAAGGAUUGACGAGGGAAGAAAGAGGAGCGUUUCACUGCAAACGGAGGAUGCUAGUUUCUCAUUGGGUCUGGACUAGUCACAUGACCCGCCCCCACUCAUCACGUCACAGGAGAGAAGGGGAAAGCGAUGCAAACGUGUCCCAGCGCGCGUUAACAUCUUUAGUUCAGCAACUCAAAAAAGACGAGGAGGAGAGGAGAAAUCGAGCGAGGAGGGAGCAGGGGGUGUCCCGGGGCGGCCUGGUGGAAGUGGAGGCUUCAGACCCGGUUCUGACUCUCUCCUCUCCCAGCCCUGUGGAUCCGGACGGGGUCGAGGUCCAAGUGAACCUCCAGCCCGACUCGGCCGACCCGAGAGAAUGCUGUAUAAUUACAUUGUUAUAUCGUGCAAGAAUGCUGUACUGCUUUUUAAUUACAUUGUUAUUUUGUGUAAGAAUGCUGUAUAAUUACAUUGUUAUAUCGUGUAAGAAUGCUGUAUAAUUACAUUGUUAUAUCGUGUAAGAAUGCUGUAUAAUUACAUUGUUAUAUCGUGUAAGAAUGCUGUAUAAUUUCAUUGUUAUAUCGUGUAAGAAUGCUGUACUGCUUUUUAAUUACAUUGUUAUAUCGUGUAAGAAUGCUGUAUAAUUACAUUGUUAUAUCGUGUAAGAACGCUGUACCGCUGUAUAAUUUCAUUGUUAUAUCGUGUAAGAAUGCUGUAUAAUUACAUUGUUAUAUCGUGUAAGAAUGCUGUAUAAUUACAUUGUUAUAUCGUGUAAGAAUGCUGUAUAAUUAGCUUCAGCUAGCUGCCUGGAGGAAGGGCGGUCUGUCUAGCCAUGGAUUCCCAGAGGUUUCAUUUCCCCGACUAACUAAAUGGUCAGGUGGUUUUAUGUUUUUCCUCUCCUGAGUGCUAACGGACCACGCUGGCAUCAAAGCGAGCGAGCAGAGGUGUGCCGAAAAUACAAUUUCUUAUGUGCUGUUGUAUAAUGAAAUUAUUACAAAGUACAACGUUGUUCUUCUGUUGUAUAAUAAAAAUAUUAUAAAGUACAAGAA